GCCAAGUUGGUCAUGGUCAAGGCACCGGAUUUUGAUUCCGGCAUUCGAAGGUUCGAAUCCUUC
rnacentral:tRNA from 1 species